rnacentral:rRNA from 1 species
UAGGGAAUCUUCCGCAAUGGGCGAAAGCUUGACGGAGCAACGCCGCGUGAGUGAUGAAGGUCUUCGGAUCGUGAAACUCUGUUAUUAGGGAAGAACAAAUGUGUAAGUAACUAUGCACGUCUUGACGGUACCUAAUCAGAAAGCCACGGCUAACUACGUGCCAGCAGCCGCGGUAAUACGUAGGUGGCAAGCGUUAUCCGGGAUUAUUGGGCGUAAAGCGCGCGUAGGCGGUUUUUUAAGUCUGAUGUGAAAGCCCACGGCUCAACCGUGGAGGGUCAUUGGAAACUGGAAAACUUGAGUGCAGAAGAGGAAAGUGGAAUUCCAUGUGUAGCGGUGAAAUGCGCAGAGAUAUGGAGGAACACCAGUGGCGAAGGCGACUUUCUGGUCUGUAACUGACGCUGAUGUGCGAAAGCGUGGGGAUCAAACAGG